AUGGUUUAACUCCCUCCUCUGCUA
rnacentral:tRNA from 1 species